CUUCAUCCACCAGAUUGAAGGCUCCCCAUUUGUUACAAAACACAUGUAAACUGAACAAUACAGCCUUCUAAAAGCAAGUCCCUGUAUGGGUAUCUUUCCAUCAUCAUGCAGCUCAGAUUGGACCAGGAUGGACUGGACAACUCACUGUGGGGAAGCAGGCCAUGUCUCAUAAUAUGUUAUGUCCAAUCCUCUGUGUUUAGACAGCCAGGUCACACCAAAUCCACUUCAGUAUUCAACGUUUAUCAGGGUCCCCGGGACAUCAGGAGAUGCCUUCAAUACCGGCCACUAGGAGCAACGUGAGCGCCUAUUACCAUAGAGGAAUGGCUUAAACCACGCUAUGACUCCGAGGAUCGCGGGUUCAAUCCCAGUGCUUGGCACUCGUUUAUAUUUUUUCUGUUUUAACCCUAUCUCUUACCUUAACCAGUUUCAAUUCAUGCUUAAACUUAACGGGACAUUUCACCCUGGCUCUGCCACUGCAUAUAGUCAUUACUAUGUUAACAACAUUACGUUUUUGUCAUAAACAUAAAAGGUUAUCCAUACCACAAGCAUUUCACUGGUAGAAUCAGGAAGUUUUGACUUCCUGUGGAUUUGUCUGCUCAUAGUGAACCACAAAGUCUGACAUUCAUAGCGAAUGCAGAUACCGCCCCGCUAGGUAGAUGGGGCGUGCCCACAAACUUGAUUCAUGGCAUUGUUUACUUUGAAACGCACAGUAAUCUCAGAACUUCUCUAGGUUUGUUUUUCACUAACAUUUGUCAUCAUGCCCGCGUGGUGUUCUGUGCCUGGCUGUGCGAAUACCAAACAAGCGCUAAAAAUGAGUUAUCUUUCACCGUUCUACCUACCAGAGAUUUACCCUGAUGCUGCCAGUGGCUUGUGGCUAUCAAGAAUGAUGUUUAUGGUGACCAAAGAUUAUCCGAGGGAUUUUUUAGGCUGAACUGAUGGGAAUCCAUUUCGACGGCAGCUUUUUCCCCUUCACAACAAAACAGAAGAAUCUCAAUUAGAGGUGGUACAGAAUCUGAUUCCACCAGCAUGUUCUUCCAACCCCUAGCUCUGCACAAGGUGAAGGUUAUCUGGAGUCCUUCCAUGGUGCCCUUCUGAAAUAUACACAAGCAUGAGGGCGCGGACACACCUUGCAGUUAUGGAGCACAACAAGAUUGUGGGACAGAAACCAGCAAGGGAUAAUGAAAGGAGACGUGCAGUGCCAGCAAAUCUUCUGCAAGAGGUCCAAACAGUUGGUGGUUAAGAAGGUCUACGAGCCCUGCACUCACUACUUCCGGCAGAGUCUUAUCCAGCUGGCCGUACACCACAGACAGGACAUGACCAUUCACCACAAGCACAUGGAGUCUCAGCUUCCCCUCCUGAGAUCCCUCCUUAGAUGUGUGCAAACCUGGUGGCCAACUACAAGAAACGUCUGACCUCUGUGAUUGCCAACAAGGGUU